rnacentral:rRNA from 1 species
AGUGAACGCUGGCGGUAGGCCUAACACAUGCAAGUCGAACGGCAGCACAGUAAGAGCUUGCUCUUACGGGUGGCGAGUGGCGGACGGGUGAGGAAUACAUCGGAAUCUACUUUUUCGUGGGGGAUAACGUGGGGAAACUUACGCUAAUACCGCAUACGACCUACGGGUGAAAGCAGGGGAUCUUCGGACCUUGCGCGAUUGAAUGAGCCGAUAUCGGAUUAGCUAGUUGGCGGGGUAAAGGCCCACCAAGGCGACGAUCCGUAGCUGGUCUGAGAGGAUGAUCAGCCACACUGGAACUGAGACACGGUCCAGACUCCUACGGGAGGCAGCAGUGGGGAAUAUUGGACAAUGGGCGCAAGCCUGAUCCAGCCAUACCGCGUGGGUGAAGAAGGCCUUCGGGUUGUAAAGCCCUUUUGUUGGGAAAGAAAAGCAGCAGGUUAAUACCCCGCUGUUCUGACGGUACCCAAAGAAUAAGCACCGGCUAACUUCGUG